UACGUAGGGGGCAAGCGUUGUCCGGAUUUAUUGGGCGUAAAGAGCAUGUAGGCGGCCUGACAGGUCUGCUGUGAAAACUCGAGGCUCAACCUCGAGAUGUCGGCGGAAACCGUCUGGCUAGAGUCCGGAAGAGGAGAGUGGAAUUCCUGGUGUAGCGGUGAAAUGCGCAGAUAUCAGGAAGAACACCUAUGGCGAAGGCAGCUCUCUGGGACGGUACUGACGCUGAGGAGCGAAAGCAUGGGGAGCGAACAGG
rnacentral:rRNA from 1 species